AGUGAACGCUGGCGGUAGGCCUAACACAUGCAAGUCGAACGGCAGCACAGUAAGAGCUUGCUCUUACGGGUGGCGAGUGGCGGACGGGUGAGGAAUACAUCGGAAUCUACUUUUUCGUGGGGGAUAACGUAGGGAAACUUACGCUAAUACCGCAUACGACCUACGGGUGAAAGCAGGGGAUCUUCGGACCUUGCGCGAUUGAAUGAGCCGAUGUCGGAUUAGCUAGUUGGCGGGGUAAAGGCCCACCAAGGCGACGAUCCGUAGCUGGCCUGAGAGGAUGAUCAGCCACACUGGAACUGAGACACGGUCCAGACUCCUACGGGAGGCAGAGGUGGGGAAGAUUGGACAAUGGGCGCAAGCCUGAUCCAGCCAUACCGCGUGGGUGAAGAAGGCCUUCGGGUUGUAAAGCCCUUUUGUUGGGAAAGAAAAGCAGCAGGUUAAUACCCCGCUGUUCGGACGGUACCCAAAGAAUAAGCACCGGCUAACUUCGU
rnacentral:rRNA from 1 species